rnacentral:rRNA from 1 species
UACGGGGGGGGCAAGCGUUGUUCGGAAUUACUGGGCGUAAAGGGCUCGUAGGCGGCCAACUAAGUCAUACGUGAAAUCCCUCGGCUUAACCGGGGAACUGCGUCUGAUACUGGAUGGCUUGAGUUCGGGAGAGGGAUGCGGAAUUCCAGGUGUAGCGGUGAAAUGCGUAGAUAUCUGGAGGAACACCGGUGGCGAAGGCGGCAUCCUGGACCGAUAUUGACGCUGAUGCGCGAAAGCUAGGGGAGCAAACGGG